UCGUUGUUUCCGAUGAUGGUGCAAUGCAGGUGAUCGGACGAGCCGGAGGUUCUGCCUCUGCUUGAAAGUUCACCGACAUUUCUUCAAUAGAGGAAGCAA
rnacentral:rRNA from 1 species